rnacentral:rRNA from 1 species
UACGUAGGGUGCAAGCGUUGUCCGGAAUUAUUGGGCGUAAAGAGCUCGUAGGCGGUCUGUCGCGUCUGCUGUGAAAACUCGGGGCUUAACCCCGGGCCUGCAGUGGGUACGGGCAGACUAGAGUGCGGUAGGGGAGACUGGAAUUCCUGGUGUAGCGGUGCAAUGCGCAGAUAUCAGGAGGAACACCGGUGGCGAAGGCGGGUCUCUGGGCCGUAACUGACGCUGAGGAGCGAAAGCGUGGGGAGCGAACAGG